CCUACGGGGCGCAGCAGUCGAGAAUCAUUCACAAUGGGGGAAACCCUGAUGGUGCGACGCCGCGUGGGGGAAUGAAGGUCUUCGGAUUGUAAACCCCUGUCAUGUGGGAGCAAAUUAAAAAGAUAGUACCACACGAGGAAGAGACGGCUAACUCUGUGCCAGCAGCCGCGGUAAUACAGAGGUCUCAAGCGUUGUUCGGAAUCACUGGGCGUAAAGCGUGCGUAGGCUGUUUCGUAAGUCGUGUGUGAAAGGCGCGGGCUCAACCCGCGGACGGCACAUGAUACUGCGAGACUAGAGUAAUGGAGGGGGAACCGGAAUUCUCGGUGUAGCAGUGAAAUGCGUAGAUAUCGAGAGGAACACUCGUGGCGAAGGCGGGUUCCUGGACAUUAACUGACGCUGAGGCACGAAGGCCAGGGGAGCGAAAGGGAUUAGAUACCCCUGUAGUC
rnacentral:rRNA from 1 species